GAAAACCCGGCCCGCGCCCGGCAGCCGUACCGCAGACGAGCCCGCGCCCGCGCCCGCGCCGCUCAGAUCUCCCAUCUGGACAUUGGAAAUAACUUUUGAUGGUCUAGGGCCUCUCUCAUUUGACCCCAGGAAAUGAGCUUUGACUGUUAGGCACCUGGAUGAAGAGCCCUGGGUUCAGCUUGUCAGAGUCCUGUA